rnacentral:lncRNA from 1 species
GAUGGCACUGAAAGCGAAGAAGGAAACUCCUGCCCUUCCUAAAGCCGAAGCCAAAGCAAAGGCUUUGAAGGCCAAGAAGGCAGUGUUGAAAGGUGUCCAUAGCCACACACAAAAAAAGAAGAUCCGCAUGUCACCCACCUUCUGGUGGCCCAAGACACUGUGACUCCGGAGGCAGCCCAAAUAUCCUGGGCAAAUUGUCCCCAACAAGCUUGACCACUGUGCUAUCAUCAAGUUUCCACUAACCACUGAGUCUGCCAUGAAGAAGAUAGAAGACAGCAACACACUUGUGAUCACUGUGGAUGUUAAAGCCAAGAAGCACCAGAUCAAACAGGCUGUGAAGAAGCUCUGUGACAUUAAUGUGGCCAAGGUCAACACCCUGAUCAGCCUGAUGGAGAGCAUAUGUUCAACUGGCUCCUGAUUACAGUGCUUUGGAUGUUACCAACAAAAUUGGGAUCAUCU